rnacentral:rRNA from 1 species
GACGAACGCUGGCGGCGUGCUUAACACAUGCCAGUCGAACGGAAAGGCCCUGCUUUUGUGGGGUGCUCGAGUGGCGAACGGGUGAGUAACACGUGAGUAACCUGCCCUUGACUUUGGGAUAACUUCAGGAAACUGGGGCUAAUACCGGAUAGGAGCUCCUGCUGCAUGGUGGGGGUUGGAAAGUUUCGGCGGUUGGGGAUGGACUCGCGGCUUAUCAGCUUGUUGGUGGGGUGGUGGCUUACCAAGGCUUUGAAGGGUAGCCGGCCUGAGAGGGUGACCGGCCACAUUGGGACUGAGAUACGGCCCAGACUGCUACGGGAGGCAGCAGUGGGGAAUAUUGCACAAUGGGCGGGAGCCUGAUGCAGCAACGCCGCGUGCGGGAUGACGGCCUUCGGGUUGUAAACCGCUUUCGCCUGUGACGAAGCGUGAGUGACGGUAAUGGGUAAAGAAGCACCGGCUAACUACGUG